rnacentral:lncRNA from 1 species
CCCAGCAUCACUUCCUGCACCUGUGCAUAAGCUUUUAAGCUGUGUGCCUGAUCCUCAGCCUGGCACCUAGCCUGCUGCCUUUCAGAGUUGCCCAUGGCGAUUAGGACAAAGAACCAACAAGCAGAAUAUUCCAACAGAACAUUUAGGUUAAGCUGCCUGCAUGAGACAAGAUCUUUGUGAAAAACACAAACCAGCGUUCUCUGGAUUUACC